rnacentral:rRNA from 1 species
AUACGUAGGUGGCAAGCGUUGUCCGGAAUUAUUGGGCGUAAAGCGCGCGCAGGUGGUUCCUUAAGUCUGAUGUGAAAGCCCCCGGCUCAACCGGGGAGGGUCAUUGGAAACUGGGGAACUUGAGUGCAGAAGAGGAUAGUGGAAUUCCAAGUGUAGCGGUGAAAUGCGUAGAGAUUUGGAGGAACACCAGUGGCGAAGGCGACUUUCGGGUCUGUAACUGACGCUGAGGCGCGAAAGCGUGGGGAGCAAACAGGAUUAGAUACCCUGGUAGUCCACGCCGUAAACGAUGAGUGCUAAGUGUUAGGGGGUUUCCGCCCCUUAGUGCUGCAGCUAACGCAUUAAGCACUCCGCCUGGGGAGUACGGUCGCAAGACUGAAACUCAAAUGAAUUGACGGG